rnacentral:rRNA from 1 species
CCUACGGGAGGCAGCAGUGGGGAAUAUUGCACAAUGGGGGAAACCCUGAUGCAGCAACGCCGCGUGAGUGAAGAAGUAUUUCGGUAUGUAAAGCUCUAUCAGCAGGGAAGAAAAUGACAGUACCUGACUAAGAAGCCCCGGCUAACUACGGGCCAGCAGCCGCGGUAAUACGUAGGGGGCACGCGUUAUCCGGAUAUACUGGGUGGAAAGGGAGCGUAGACGGCUGCGCAAGUCAGAAGUGAAAGCCCGGGGCUCAACCGCGGGACUGCUUUUGAAACUGUGUAGCUAGAGUGCAGGAGAGGUAAGUGGAAUUCCUAGUGUAGCGGUGAAAUGCGUAGAUAUUAGGAGGAACACCGGUGGCGAAGGCGGCUUACUGGACUGUAACUGACGUUGAGGCUCGAAAGCGUGGGGAGCAAACAGGAUUAGAUACCCGAGUAGUC